GGGGGUGCACCGGUUUCGACUGGUACGGUUCGGGGUGCAGGUUGCAGGUGGAGUGCCGAGCUCCUAACAUUCGGCAACAAUUUAACUGCCGACUACGACAGUUACGCUCUCGCUGCAUAAACAGCGGAACGCGGAAACCGGCUCCGCCGCCUUGAGGGGCCGAGUUUCCGUCGCAAUCAAGGCUGGUCAAGCUCCGCUUUCGGACGGGGUGCGACGAGAUAAUUCCGGAAUACGGACGGGCCGCGGGCCGCAGAGCUAAGCCCAUCCCGACAAUAUAAAACGCGGCUAAACCUGUAGAGACCGGUAUUUCGCGUAUUAGGACGCGGGUUCGACUCCCGCCACCUCCAA
rnacentral:tmRNA from 1 species